AUUAGCUCAGUUGGUUCAGAGCACUACCUUGACAGGGUAGGGGUCACUGGUUCGAAUCCAGUAUGUCUCA
rnacentral:tRNA from 1 species